rnacentral:lncRNA from 1 species
CAAGUCAUGUCACUUUAUGUUGGACCACACCACCCCAACGGCUAGCUAUGUACCAGCUGAGGUCACGUCAAAUCAUGCCAUCCGACGGCGUAUAACUGGCCCCCGAGGCCCAUUCCUCUCGAUCCUUGAUUCGGUUGCCACAUCCUGUAGCAUCCAUCCGAAGUCUCCAUACGACUAUCAAGUCGAGUCAUUAAAGAUAGCAGCUUGUCAUGAUGAUCC